rnacentral:misc_RNA from 1 species
UCCGACUUAACGUCGGCAGUCCCUUUAGAGUGCCCAACUUAAUGCUGGCAACUAAAGGUAAGGGUUGCGCUCGUUGCGGGACUUAACCCAACAUCUCACGACACGAGCUGACGACAGCCAUGCAGCACCUAUUCAGCGGUCCCGAAGGACGUUGAUAUCUCUACCAACUUCCACUGAACUUCGAACCCAGGUAAGGUUUUUCGCGUUGCAUCGAAUUAAACCACAUGCUCCACCGCUUGUGCGGGCCCCCGUCAAUUUCUUUGAGUUUUAACCUUGCGGCCGUACUCCCCAGGCGGGACACUUAACGCGUUAGCUUCGGCACUGAAGGGGUCAAUACCUCCAACACCAAGUGUCCAUCGUUUACGGCGUGGACUAC